rnacentral:rRNA from 1 species
UGCAGUCGAGCGGACAGAUGGGAGCUUGCUCCCUGAUGUUAGCGGCGGACGGGUGAKUAACACGUGGGUAACCUGCCUGUAAGACUGGGAUAACUCCGGGAAACCGGGGCUAAUACCGGAUGGUUGUUUGAACCGCAUGGUUCAAACAUAAAAGGKGGCUUCGGCUACCACUUACAGAUGGACCCGCGGCGCAUUAGCUAGUUGGUGAGGUAAYGGCUCACCAAGGSAACGAUGCGUAGCCGACCUGAGAGGGUGAUCGGCCACACUGGGACUGAGACACGGCCCAGACUCCUACGGGAGGCAGCAGUAGGGAAUCUUCCGCAAUGGACGAAAGUCUGACGGAGCAACGCCGCGUGAGUGAUGAAGGUUUUCGGAUCGUAAAGCUCUGUUGUUAGGGAAGAACAAGUACCGUUCGAAUAGGGCGGUACCUUGACGGUACCUAACCAGAAAGCCACGGCUAACUACGUGCCAGCAGCCGCGGUAAUACGUAGGUGGCAAGCGUUGUCCGGAAUUAUUGGGCGUAAAGGGCUCGCAGGCGGUUUCUUAAGUCUGAUGUGAAAGCCCCCGGCUCAACCGGGGAGGGUCAUUGGAAACUGGGGAACUUGAGUGCAGAAGAGGAGAGUGGAAUUCCACGUGUAGCGGUGAAAUGCGUAGAGAUGUGGAGGAACACCAGUGGCGAAGGCGACUCUCUGGUCUGUAACUGACGCUGAGGAGCGAAAGCGUGGGGGAGCGAACAGGAUUAGAUACCCUGGUAGUCCACGCCGUAAACGAUGAGUGCUAA